GCGCCCCUAGCUCAACUGGAUAGAGCAGCUGACUCUUAAUCAGCGGGUUCGGGGUUCGAGUCCCCGGGGGCGUA
rnacentral:tRNA from 1 species